UGACCGAAUGCCACCGCUGCUGCCGUGGCGGUGCCUUUACUCGCGAGGAGGCCCUUCCGCGUACGGCGCAGUCAGCGCUCUUAGGCGGACCUUCUCGCGCUCGCCGCUUUCGCGUGCGCGGCCGCGGUCACACAAGCGCAGAUGGAAAGAGGAGAGGAGUCGCGCGGUUCCCCCCUCAAGCAAGAAGCACGUAUCACCACCGAAGCUCUCUGGAAGGCAGGGCGUCUUCCAUUCUCAUCCUCGUGGCGGCUCACAGCUAUCUUCAUCCUCCUCGCCACCGUCUCCUUCACCAGCGAUGGCUGUGAGUGACGUGCACGGUGCCGUCGCCCCACCCCGCACCUCAUGCAGCACAGAGGAGAAGGAGAGAGGUCUUCUGCGCUACUUUAGCCGCGGUCGCUGUCUUUACGACACGGUUCCACUGCAGAGCGCGUCCUUUGCCCUCCAGCGCGCGUCUUGCACGCAGGCGCAGCGUGUCCCGCUCGUCACCCUCUUUCCUGCCCCGUCUCCAUCCGAAUCCGCAGCAUCGCUUUCAACUUCGGCUGCAGCAUGCCCCACGGCAGAGUCUCCCGGUUUCAUCGGUGUUCAGCCUCCCGCGUCACGCCCGAUCGGCAAGUCCGUCACAACGGCGGAAGGGCCCGUGCCCGUAGCACCGCCGAGCGCAUCGUCCCCGCUGUCGCGCGACUUAUCAUUCAAUCUUUUCUCGAGCUAUGAGCUGCAAGAAAGACAGCAUUCGGACUGGCUGCAGUUUCGCCUUCUCAGCGCGCGCUUCUCAAGCGCAUCCGACUCGAACAAGUUCUAUGGCGCGGCAGAGAUGCCGCUACGGGAUGUGUGCGCUGACAUGGCAGAGAUUUGGGACACGACGUGCACGGCGUGGGAGGAGGCCAUGCGGGCCUGGAGCGGCGCCGCACGCAGCGGGUCAGCGGGCUUCUCCAGGCGCCACUCUGCCUGUUUUUUGGUUUGCUACGUGCAAACGCAGCAGAAGGUUGCUGUUGGCAUGUCCGUGCAGCGCAUCGCGGCGCAGGUGUGCGAGCUGGCUCGCGCCAACUACGCGUCGCAGCUGUUCCGGGUCGUUCCCAUCUUCAUUGGUGUGCGGGCACAGGCGAUGUUGUGCAUGGACGCGACUGCGUGCAGUUCACUAGCGGCGGAUGUGGAGCCAACGGUCGCCGCUCGAACAACUGAAACGGUCACCUACGCAACGGGGGGCUUGUACACCUUGGCAGAGACGGUGCAGUGCAUCACGCGCUUGGACCCUCACGCCUUUGAUCCGCGGGGGUCUUCUGACGCCUUGCCGCAUGUAGGGCCCUCGCGUGCUGCUCCAGAGUUGUUGUGCACGUUGGAGCCGCAGGUCUUCCUGUUGUCGGACAGCUGGCUGCACGUGCGCAGCGUCGCCGACCUCUACGGCGACGAUUCUUUGAACAACCCCGCAUCUGACAGUCGAGCGACGUCUGCAGCAGCACCUCCAGCUUCUGAGCAGGGGCGGAAUCGCCACGCCCGUGGGGCGACGUCGUUUGUACCGGAGUCGACACGGCGCAACGUGCACGUUGUCCCCGCUGUGGUGGCGGAUCGCCUGAGUCGGAAAGAGGAGCGCGCCAUCGCCCGCUACAUCUGGUGCGACAUGCAGCGUCGAGUCAGUGGCCGCCGCACUGCCGAGACUCUGCAACCGUACCACCCAUCCUCUCUCGUCAAGCCCCUGUGAGGAUGCCUGAGAGAGUUUGCGCGUGUGCGUGCCCCGUCAGUGCUGAGCGGGUGGCGCCGCCAACGGCGGUUUGCCGCCGCGGCGCGGCACGCACCCAUUGGCGGGCAUAAGACCGAGUGGGAGACAUCCAAGAGCACCUUGAUGUAUGAUGGAGUCGACACGUCUGACGUGACGCCGAAACGAACGUGAUUGUAUUCCUCGAAUGCCAUCGUCCCAUAUCACCCUCCGCGCUCUACUCCUGACCCUCUCCACUCAGUUCACAAGCUCGUGUAGACUUGACUGCCGGCAGCGCUCCGCGUACACAGCGAGGCAGAUGGAGGAAGGAAGGGAGCGCCAAGAAGGCAAAGAGCAGGCCAGUGGUGCUGCUGCUGCCGCUGUGGAACGCGGCUCUGUGGUGCGCGCGUAGGUCUACUCCGCCUGUCUCUGUACGUCUCUGUGCGUAUGCGCUUCGUCUCCUCUGCUUUUCCUUGCUCUGAAUCCUGCCCUGAUACCCCAUCCUCUCCCCUCGUCUUUCGUCUUCGCUUCCUCUGGUGCCCCCCCUCUCCUCCUCCUCGUCCGCUAGGACUGGCGUAGGUGUGCGCGUGCGUGCAUGAAUACACCUUUCGAGGUCGAUCUAUACAAC
rnacentral:misc_RNA from 1 species